AGGAAAAGAAACCAACAGGGAUUGCCCUAGUAACGGCGAGUGAAGCGGCAACAGCUCAAAUUUGAAAUCUGGCUCUUUCAGGGUCCGAGUUGUAAUUUGUAGAGGGUGCUUUGGAGUUGACUGUGGUCUAAGUUCCUUGGAACAGGACGUCGCAGAGGGUGAGAAUCCCGUAUGUGGCCGCCAGUCUUCGCCGUGUAAAGCCCCUUCGACGAGUCGAGUUGUUUGGGAAUGCAGCUCUAAAUGGGAGGUAAAUUUCUUCUAAAGCUAAAUAUUGGCCAGAGACCGAUAGCGCACAAGUAGAGUGAUCGAAAGAUGAAAAGCACUUUGGAAAGAGAGUCAAAAAGCACGUGAAAUUGUUGAAAGGGAAGCGCUUGCAGCCAGACUUGCCUGUAGUUGCUCAUCCGGGCUUUUGCCCGGUGCACUCUUCUAUAGGCAGGCCAGCAUCAGUCCUGGCGGUCGGAUAAAUGCCCGCUGAAUGUACCUCUCCUCGGGGAGGACUUAUAGCAGUGGGCGGCAUACGACCAGCCGGGAUUGAGGUCCGCGCAUCUGCUAGGAUGCUGGCGUAAUGGCUGUAAGCGGCCCGUCUUGAAACACGGACCAAGGAGUCUAACAUCUAUGCGAGUGUUUGGGUGUCAAGCCCGAGCGCGUAAUGAAAGUGAACGGAGGUGGGAACCCCUCGGGGUGCACCAUCGACCGAUCCUGAUGUCUUCGGAUGGAUUUGAGUAAGAGCAUAGCUGUUGGGACCCGAAAGAUGGUGAACUAUGCCUGAAUAGGGUGAAGCCAGAGGAAACUCUGGUGGAGGCUCGCAGCGGUUCUGACGUGCAAAUCGAUCGUCAAAUUUGGGCAUAGGGGCGAAAGACUAAUCGAACUAU
rnacentral:rRNA from 1 species